rnacentral:lncRNA from 1 species
GUUGCUAUCCAAACUAUUCAUAUAUUCUCUCUAGUCUUGCUAAGAAACCAGUUCGACUCUUGGUUAGAUUACCUGUUGUGGUACUACUGUUCGUGGGCUUAACUAAGACCUGAUAUUAACCCAAUGCUCCAUCUGUUUUGUUUGAUGCUAUCAUGUGACUUAUUCUUCCCUUAUGUCACUUACUAAUGCAGUGUGGUGCUAGCAAAUGUUGGGUCAACUUUUUUGGAAGGUAGCCCUGCAACUGAGUCGUUGAACAUAUGCGGUUCUCUAUAGAAUUUGCUUUUUUUUCCAGUAGCAAGUGCAGUCUCAGAUGUUUUUUUUUCCACCUUUCUGAAUCUAUUCCUGUAGAAUAGUUGAACAUUUCAGUGCCAAAUGUAGGCUUUGUUCCUUGUUGGCUUUUUCAUAUUCUGAAUUUAUACUAGGCGAAUUGUUUGCUGUAUAUGUCCAAAUUUCUGACAGUUUUGUGAUGCUGCUUCCAAAGGGGUUUUAUAGACUCCGAUGUUUUACGUUUACAUAUUUUUGCCGGAGGAUACAUGGACACCUGAUUGAAUCAUGCUAUGAAAUAAUGUUGGUUCAAUAACAAAUUCACCCUAAAUUGAUAAAUAGGACUAUAUUUCAACUGUUCUCUAUCCUGGUAUCGGUGUUUCAGGGCUAUUUGUAUAUUCUAUUUUUCCUGUUGGCCAUUUCUGCUUUUAUAUCUAGAUUCAAACCGGGAUCAGAUAUCAUCUUAUACAUACUCAUUUGGCCAAAUUGCUCUAACUUUAAUCAUAUAAUUUGAACAUUAGUCAAUGGACGGUUGCAACUUCACUCUUACUCAUCCCAUUCACAAUCAUAG